GAAACCAGGUGAUCUACCCUUGGUCAGGUUGAAGUUCAGGUAACACUGAAUGGAGGACCGAACCGACUUACGUUGAAAAGUGAGCGGAUGAACUGAGGGUAGCGGAGAAAUUCCAAUCGAACCUGGAGAUAGCUGGUUCUCUCCGAAAUAGCUUUAGGGCUAGCCUCAAGUGAUGAUUAUUGGAGGUAGAGCACUGUUUGGACGAGGGGCCCCUCUCGGGUUACCGAAUUCAGACAAACUCCGAAUGCCAAUUAAUUUAACUUGGGAGUCAGAACAUGGGUGAUAAGGUCCGUGUUCGAAAGGGAAACAGCCCAGACCACCAGCUAAGGUCCCAAAAUAUAUGUUAAGUGGAAAAGGAUGUGGCGUUGCCCAGACAACUAGGAUGUUGGCUUAGAAGCAGCCAUCAUUUAAAGAGUGCGUAAUAGCUCACUAGUCGAGUGACACUGCGCCGAAAAUGUACCGGGGCUAAACAUAUUACCGAAGCUGUGGAUUGUCCUUUGGACAAUGGUAGGAGAGCGUUCUAAGGGCGUUGAAGCAUGAUCGUAAGGACAUGUGGAGCGCUUAGAAGUGAGAAUGCCGGUGUGAGUAGCGAAAGACGGGUGAGAAUCCCGUCCACCGAUUGACUAAGGUUUCCAGAGGAAGGCUCGUCCGCUCUGGGUUAGUCGGGUCCUAAGCUGAGGCCGACAGGCGUAGGCGAUGGAUAACAGGUUGAUAUUCCUGUACCACCUAUAAUCGUUUUAAUCGAUGGGGGGACGCAGUAGGAUAGGCGAAGCGUGCGAUUGGAUUGCACGUCUAAGCAGUAAGGCUGAGUAUUAGGCAAAUCCGGUACUCGUUAAGGCUGA
rnacentral:rRNA from 1 species